CCCUUAGAUGUUCUGGGCCGCACGCGCGCUACACUGAUGCAUUCAACGAGCCUAGCCUUGACCGAGAGGUCCGGGUAAUCUUUGAAACUGCAUCGUGAUGGGGCUAGAUUAUUGCAAUUAUUAAUCUUCAACGAGGAAUGCCUAGUAAGCGUGAUUCAUCAAAUCGCGUUGAUUACGUCCCUGCCCUUUGUACACACCGCCCGUCGCUCCUACCGAUUGAGUGUGUUGGUGAGGAGUUCGGAUUGACUCUUAGUGGUGGUUCGCCACCACCUAGAGCUGAGAAGUUCUCCAAACCGCCCCACUUAGAGGAAGGAGAAGUCGUAACA
rnacentral:rRNA from 1 species